rnacentral:tRNA from 1 species
AGUGGGGUGUCUGAUUAGGUAAUAAAUUGUAAAUUUAUUUAAGAGUUUUAUUCUCUCCUACUA